rnacentral:rRNA from 1 species
UACGGAGGGAGCUAGCGUUGUUCGGAAUUACUGGGCGUAAAGCGCGCGUAGGCGGCUUUGUAAGUUAGAGGUGAAAGCCCGGGGCUCAACUCCGGAACUGCCUUUAAGACUGCAUCGCUUGAAUCCGGGAGAGGUGAGUGGAAUUCCGAGUGUAGAGGUGAAAUUCGUAGAUAUUCGGAAGAACACCAGUGGCGAAGGCGACUCACUGGACCGGUAUUGACGCUGAGGUGCGAAAGCGUGGGGAGCGAACAGG